rnacentral:rRNA from 1 species
CAGCCGCCACGGUAAUACGUAGGUGGCAAGCGUUGUCCGGAAUUAUUGGGCGUAAAGGGCUCGCAGGCGGUUUCUUAAGUCUGAUGUGAAAGCCCCCGGCUCAACCGGGGAGGGUCAUUGGAAACUGGGAAACUUGAGUGCAGAAGAGGAUAGUGGAAUUCCACGUAUAGCGGUGAAAUGCGUAGAGAUGUGGAGGAACACCAGUGGCGAAGGCGACUCUCUGGUCUGUAACUGACGCUGAGGAGCGAAAGCGUGAGGAGCGAACAGGAUUAGAUACCCCUGUAGUCCCUGUCUCUUAUAC